rnacentral:rRNA from 1 species
GUGUCAGCCGCCGCGGUAAUACGAAGGGUGCAAGCGUUACUCGGAAUUACUGGGCGUAAAGCGUGCGUAGGCGGUUUGUUAAGUCUGUCGUGAAAGCCCCGGGCUCAACCUGGGAAUGGCGGUGGAUACUGGCAGGCUAGAGUACGGUAGAGGAUGGUGGAAUUCCCGGUGUAGCAGUGAAAUGCGUAGAGAUCGGGAGGAACAUCUAUGGCGAAGGCAGCCAUCUGGACCAGUACUGACGCUGAGGCACGAAAGCGUGGGGAGCAAACAGGAUUAGAAACCCCGGUAGUCC